rnacentral:rRNA from 1 species
GACGAACGCUGGCGGCGUGCUUAACACAUGCAAGUCGUACGGUAAGGCCCUUUCGGGGGUACACGAGUGGCGAACGGGUGAGUAACACGUGAGUAACCUGCCCACAACUUUGGGAUAACGCUAGGAAACUGGUGCUAAUACUGGAUAUGUGCUCCUGCUGCAUGGUGGGGGUGGGAAAGCUCCGGCGGUUGUGGAUGGACUCGCGGCCUAUCAGCUUGUUGGUGGGGUAGUGGCCUACCAAGGCGGCGACGGGUAGCCGGCCUGAGAGGGUGACCGGCCACAUUGGGACUGAGAUACGGCCCAGACUCCUACGGGAGGCAGCAGUGGGGAAUAUUGCACAAUGGGCGCAAGCCUGAUGCAGCAACGCCGCGUGCGGGAUGACGGCCUUCGGGUUGUAAACCGCUUUCAGCAGGGACGAAGCUUUUUGUGACGGUACCUGCAGAAGAAGCACCGGCUAACUACGUG